UACAUGCAAGUCGACGCUUUUUCUUUCACCGGAGCUUGCUCCACCGAAAGAAAAGGAGUGGCGAACGGGUGAGUAACACGUGGGUAACCUGCCCAUCAGAAGGGGAUAACACUUGGAAACAGGUGCUAAUACCGUAUAACAAUCGAAACCGCAUGGUUUCGGUUUGAAAGGCGCUUUUGCGUCACUGAUGGAUGGACCCGCGGUGCAUUAGCUAGUUGGUGAGGUAACGGCUCACCAAGGCAACGAUGCAUAGCCGACCUGAGAGGGUGAUCGGCCACAUUGGGACUGAGACACGGCCCAAACUCCUACGGGAGGCAGCAGUAGGGAAUCUUCGGCAAUGGACGCAAGUCUGACUGAGCAACGCCGCGUGAGUGAAGAAGGUUUUCGGAUCGUAAAACUCUGUUGUUAGAGAAGAACAAGGAUGAGAGUAAAAUGUUCAUCCCUUGACGGUAUCUAACCAGAAAGCCACGGCUAACUACGUGCCAGCAGCCGCGGUAAUACGUAGGUGGCAAGCGUUGUCCGGAUUUAUUGGGCGUAAAGCGAGCGCAGGCGGUUUCUUAAGUCUGAUGUGAAAGCCCCCGGCUCAACCGGGGAGGGUCAUUGGAAACUGGGGAACUUGAGUGCAGAAGAGGAGAGUGGAAUUCCAUGUGUAGCGGUGAAAUGCGUAGAUAUAUGGAGGAACACCAGUGGCGAAGGCGGCUCUCUGGUCUGUAACUGACGCUGAGGCUCGAAAGCGU
rnacentral:rRNA from 1 species